rnacentral:tRNA from 1 species
GCCCAGGUGGCGGAAUUGGUAGACGCGCAGGACUUAAAAUCCUGUUCACCUAAAGUGAGUGCGGGUUCGAUUCCCGCCCUGGGCA